rnacentral:misc_RNA from 1 species
AAGUCGUAACAAGGUUUCCGUAGGUGAACCUGCGGAAGGAUCAUUAACACGUAUCCACGUUAAACCAACCGUGCACUUUCAAUUAUGCGUUGUUUUUGAGCUCGAGGUCAGUUCGCUUUCCAAGUUCGGCUCGGCACGUGUCGUGAAGUUGGUGCUUGCACCGGCGAUGGAUGCCACCUCUGACGAGAGUGAAACUGGAAGGGUACGUAACUCGACAGUUUCGACGUGGGGCUGGAAAACUCGAUUUAUUUCAAAGGACGAUCCGUUCUGGGCCGGAUCGAAAUUUGUGGUAAUGAGAGGGUUCUGGAACUCUACGGGGUAACUGUCUGAGUUGCACAUCCAUUUCAAACCCCUUAAAAAAAUUGACAUCCGAGACCUCAGGGUAAAACCGAGGCUCGAGCAACCGAACAACUGUUAACAAUGGAUAUCUUGGUUCUC